GUAGAUCUGGUUAGCAUUCGUUUAGGAUUUAAGGCAUAAAUACGCAAUUUCACAAAGUGCGUUAUCUUAUUAUAAUGUCAAAAAAUUCAUUUACAGUUGCACUGAGACAUUUAUUUCGAUUAAAUCAAAUUUAAUUUAUCUGGUAAAUUAUACAAUUGUUGCUGUUUAUCAUAUAUAUCUUGACAGUGCACUAUGUUCAUUAUCUGACAAACCGAUUGCUCCUGGUUUUGUAUUUAAAAGCUUACCCGUUAAAUUCCAUCCUUCAGAUAUGCAUUUUUUUUGGUUGAAUAAACUAGCGACUUGAAAUGUAAAAAUAAUUUAUGUUGCUGAGAAGUGUAAAUGAUUCAGAAUCCACAUCUAUUUAUUGGAUUUACCGCAGUUGUAGGGAAACUGUCGAAUUAUUGAUGACAAGUUCUCCAAAACUCUUUGCAAACAAGUUUCAAUGUAUGAAAUUGAUUCCAAACAGUAAAGAAUUAUUAUGCUCAUAAAGAUUAUCAUAGCCAUGUUUCGAGAGUUUAGAUAAGCAGCCGAAAUCUAUGCAAACUGGCCUGCAAAAGACAACAAAUCUUCGUCAUUAAGAUAUUGGGCCAUAAUUUGAAUUCCCAUUGGAAGCCCAUUGUUCAAAGUACCGAAAGGUAUGCUAACGGAUGGUAUUCCAGCCAUAUUCGCUGGAACUAACAUAGUAUCUGAAAGAUGACUAUAAGAGGACGGGGUUUCAAUGGGUUGACUGGAAUUAAAAAAAGAAGGGGUAACUAUGAAAUCGAUGUCACCCCUGGGAUCAUCGACAGAAAAGGAAGGUAGAAAAAAGUUUUUGUUGAAUUCCAGCUGUAUGGCUCGGCGAACGUAUCGAGCCUUAGAAAACAAAUCAGAGGAAUUCCUAUUUGUAAAUAUUAGUAACUACUUAGUAAAUCAGUUAUAUCAUACAUUCUUGCUAGUGAAUAAGCGCCUAGCAGUAGCCUCUUUUUCACUUCGUCUCCUAAAAAAAAAGAGCGUGCAGUAGAUGAAAUUAUUUCCUCUUCGAACUUUUCAUCUAAACAAUUGCCAAAUGCGAUAGUAUUAUAUUUAGCCAAAUUUGAAGUCGCUUCUGCAUAAGCCAUUGUGGAAUAUACACUGUUAGCGUAUAAUGAAAUUGGAAGCUGUAUUUCUUGGACAAGAUAACCAUUUGAUUUCAGAAGAGAUAUGAAUUCAUUCCACUUAUCUAAAACGUUUGGAUGAGUCUCAGAAACAUUCCAGUCAAUUGGAAUUCCUAUUUUAAUUGGCUUCCGCGAUAAUUUUUUGUGCUGCUCUUUAACAAAAUAACGAGCUUCUUUAGUUAAACAGGUUGAGUCAUUUAUGUCGGGAUGGUCUAAAACAUUAAAUACUUUGGUAACGCCCUUAACAUUAUUUGCAGCGAUACCCACUGUGUCAAAACUAUUGGCAAAGGCAAGCAUUCCAUAUCUCGAAAUCCUGCCGAAAGAUGGUUUAAAACCUACACAACCUACGUAAGCAGCAGGUAGACGGAUUGAUCCUCCUGUGUCUGAACCAACUGAUGCAUAACAUAUAUCCGCCGCGAUUGCAGCAGCAGCUCCUCCCGAGCUGCCCCCAACAUCGUAAUUACUAUCCUUAACAACAGGAUUAACAGUGCGACCAAAAAGAUUGUUUUCGCUCUUGACUCCCAUUGCAAACUCAUCCAUAUUUGUUUUACCAAGAAUAAUACCGCCGGCUUUCUUCAAGCUUUCGACAAUUGACGCAUCAAACGGAGAAUUGUAGUCUAGUUAAACCGCAAUUAGUAACUGAAAUAUAUUCUUAUUGUCUACCCUUCAACAUAUUAGAGGCUGCCGUGGUUAAAUUUGUCUUCGUGCAAAUAUUUUCCUUUACUGUAAUCAGUUUCCAUUUUAACGGAAGCUUCUUUUCCAGUGGUAAUUUACUAAUUUCAACAAAUGAAUCAUAUAGAUAUUCGGCACUAUUUAUUGAAGUUAAAGACUUAAUUUUCGCAUCAUUUAGAAUGAUACUAG